UUUCAGUACACGAAAAUGAGGCAUUGCCUCAGUUUAUAUAGCCUCGAAUUGUGACUGUUCGGAAAGGCUUGGUGCCUGUUCGUGAAAGGCCAUGCCUUUUUUUUCUUAACAAUAAGAACGUUGGGAAGUUUACAGUUAACAGAUUAAUAUUUUUUCCCGCGGGAAUUAAAAAUAAUUUCAGAAAAUGAAGAUUGAAUUUUAAAUA
rnacentral:lncRNA from 1 species